rnacentral:rRNA from 1 species
CGUAGGGUGCAAGCGUUAAUCGGAAUUACUGGGCGUAAAGCGUGCGCAGGCGGUCCGCUAAGACAGAUGUGAAAUCCCCGGGCUUAACCUGGGAACUGCAUUUGUGACUGGCGGGCUAGAGUAUGGCAGAGGGGGGUAGAAUUCCACGUGUAGCAGUGAAAUAGCGUAGAGAUGUGGAGGAAUACCGAUGGCGAAGGCAGCCCCCUGGGCCAAUACUGACGCUCAUGCACGAAAGACGUGGGGAGCAAACAGGAUU